rnacentral:rRNA from 1 species
CUAUAUAUUCGUAUAUGGUUUCCUAGUGGCGAACGGGUGAGUAACGCGUUGGUGACCUGCCCCAAAGAAGGGAACAACAGUCCGAAAGGAUUGCUAAUACCCUAUGUGAUCGUUAGGGUUAGAGGCCUUACGAUUAAAGGAGAAAUCCGCUUUGGGAGGGACCUGCGUCCCAUCAGCUAGUUGGUAGGGUAACGGCCUACCAAGGCGACGACGGGUAGGGGGCCUGAGAGGGUGGCCCCCCACAAUGGUACUGAGACACGGACCAU